CAUGCCAUUUGCAAAAGUAAACAACCCAAGGUAUUACAAAUGGGGUAUGUCCAGUCUUUUUAAGUAGCCACUUAGUCACAAACAUUGGCCAAAAUUAGCAUUAGAAUUAGUUUUUUGCAAUUUUCACACACAAACAAAUAUGAACGCUAACUUUGGCCAGUGUUUGUGACUAAGUGGCUACUUAAAAAGACUGGACAUACCCCAUUUGCAAAACCUUGGGUUGCCUACUUUUGUAAAUGGAAUG